UCUAUUUCUCCAGUUACUUGCAGAUCUGAAGUAAACAGCAAUAUGUGUCAUCGUGGUUACUGUAAUGUCCUGUUUAUUUGACAUUUUCAAGCUUAAGAAACAUAUUCUAAACAUUACCUGUAUUCCAGGUGUUCUCACAGGUGGCCCAGGGAAGCUGGGAUCCAAACGAGAACACCAAGUAGAGGAGAGCCCAAACUUCGAUUAUAAUUGGCUCAUCUUUUAUCUCAGCAAACAUCAGCUCACCUUGUGCCAGUGGACACAACUUCCUCCAGCAGGUCACAAAUCCUUCCUGGGUGCACUGACCAACUGAAGUCUCCAACAGGAACAGAGGUAUCCCACAAACCACAGCUAACAGACCAUAUGGCACCAGGAAGGCACCUACAGGUGUAGAAAAAUGAUAUGGACAUGUACAAAAAUGGCAGUGACAAGUUUUGUCACUCAUCAAUCAUAAAUAUUCGCAUUAUUUCAGCGCAGUGUGCACAGAGUUUGUAAUAUUCACCUCCACCAUUCUUGUAGCAGAGGUAAGGAAAUCUCCACACGUUGCCCAGGCCGACCACAUCUCCUGCAACGACCAGAAUAUAUUCUGUUUUAGUGGCCCACUGCCCUCUGUCUUCAGCAUUUCUCUGCUUUUCUGUUUUUCCUCUUUGUCUGUUCAUCUCAGCUUGAAGACUUCAUCUGCUCUUUAAGUUACAAUUCAACAGUACUGCAAACUGGUCUUUGCUUCUUUUAUUGUGUUUUUUCCUCAUCUGACUAUAUCCUGCCCUCAACCCAGAAAUCAUCUGUAAAUGCAAACCAGUUCCAGUGUGGAUGUGCCAACCUUUAUGUUUGUCAAGAGCUAAGGGGCCCUAUUAAAGACUCACCAAUUCUGACUUGGUUUGAAAGCAUGCAUUUCAAUAUAUAAUAGCAAGCUGAUCAUUGCUGCUUUCUCUUAAUUUGACUACAUCCUGGUCUCAAGGCAACAAUUCCAGUCAUUCUGGUGUUUUGUUUUAUUGUUGAGUUUUUCAUUUGAAAAACCCUGAAAAGUUCUUGAAGAGCCAUUUUGUUUAUUUUUUAAUGAGGCUUUCUGAUGAAACAUGCAAAUAAAAAACAAAUAUGCAAAUC